rnacentral:rRNA from 1 species
AUUGAACGCUGGCGGCAUGCCUUACACAUGCAAGUCGAACGGCAGCACGGGGCAACCUGGUGGCGAGUGGCGAACGGGUGAGUAAUGUAUCGGAACGUACCUUUCAGUGGGGGAUAACGUAGCGAAAGUUACGCUAAUACCGCAUAUUCUGUGAGCAGGAAAGCAGGGGAUCGCAAGACCUUGCGCUGAUUGAGCGGCCGAUAUCAGAUUAGCUAGUUGGUGAGGUAAAGGCUCACCAAGGCGACGAUCUGUAGCGGGUCUGAGAGGAUGAUCCGCCACACUGGAACUGAGACACGGUCCAGACACCUACGGGUGGCAGCAGUAGGGAAUAUUGCGCAAUGGGCGAAAGCCUGACGCAGCGAUGCCGCGUGAGUGACGAAGGUCUUAGGAUUGUAAAGCUCUUUUCUGAGGGAAGAAUAGGUCUGGUAGGAAAUGACUGGAUUCUGACGGUACCUCAGGAAUAAGGAACGGCUAACUCCG